UUUUUUUUUUUUUUUUGGUCUUUUUGCCUUUUCUAAGGCUGCUCCCGCAGCAUAUGGAGGUUCCCAGGCUAGGGGUCGAAUGGGAGCUGUAGCCACUAGCCUACACCAGAGCCACAGCAACGUGGGAUCCAAGCCGCGCCUGCAACCUAUACCACAGCUCACAAUUACGCCGGAUCCUUAACCCACUGAGCAAGGCCAGGAAUUGAACCCACAACCUCAUGGUUCCUAGUCGGAUUCAUUAGCCACUGCGCCACGACGGGAACUCCUGUUCAGACGACUUCUGAGAGCAGUUCGAGGUUCACGGUAAAAUGGAGAGCCAGGUACAGAGAUGUCACAUGAACACCCAGCUCCUGCACGUGCAGAGGCUCCUCCACUAUCAACCAGAGGGGAGACGUUUUUCAACCGAUGAGCCCACACAGACAGGAUGUCAUCAGGCUACGUCCAUACACGCUGGGGUUCGUCCUUGCUGCUGGACACGCUGUGGCUCUGGACUUUUUAUCCAACAUUACAGUACCACUCAGAGCCUUUCCACCGCCCUGCUUUCCCUCCGUUCUCUGCUUCUUCAUCCCUCGCCCUUCGCCUCCCCAGCCUCAACCCUCGGCAACCCCCGAUCUUUUUGCUGUCUCCACAGAGUGGGGCCCACACAGCCUUGGAGCCUUUUUAGAUGGGCGUCUUUCACUCAGAAAUAUGCAUUCCCGGUUCCUCCGUGUUUUCUCGUGGUCCGCUAACGCAUGUCUUUUCACACUGGACACUGGUCUAUGGUCUGGAUACACCACGGCGUGUCUCUGUUCACCUACUGAAGGGCAUCUUGGUAGCACCCAAGCUGUGGGAAUUGUGCAUACAGGUGCUAUAAAGAUCCAUGUGCAGGUGUCUGUGUGGAUGUGAGUUUUCAGCUCCUUUGGACAGACACUGAGGAGCGCUCCUGCUGGAUUGUAUGAUGAGAGCACUAGUUUCCGAAGAAGCUUUCAAACUGUCUUCCCAAGGGACCAGACCAUUCUGCAUUCCUACCAGCAGUGAAUGACAGCUCCUGUCACUCUUCACCAACAUCUGGUGUUGUCAGUGUUACGGAUCUCGCCCUGCUGACAGUUUGUGUAGUCGUACCUCGUUGCUGCGGGUUUUGUUUGUUUGUUUGUUUUGGCUUUUGAAUGGCCAUUCCUGCGGCAUACGGAAGCUCCUGGUCCAGGGACUGAAUCCGAGCCACAGGUGCAACCUACGCUGAGGCUAUAGCAAUGCCAGAUCCUUUUACCUCUGCACAGGCUAGGGAUCAAACCCGUGCCCCAACAGCAACCCAAGCCACUGCAGUCAGAUUCUGUACCCACUGUACCACAGUGGGAGCUCAUUAGUGUUUAUUUGCAAGUCCCUGAUGACACAUGCAUGUUUGCCAUCUGUUUUCUAUGCGAUUUCACUGUCAGACAUUGCUUGCAACAUAACAGAAAUACCUGGAGAGAUAUGAGAGAGAAGCUGUGUUUACAGGCACAAGAUUUUGGUCCCCUUACCACUUGGAGCAGGUGGACCUUCUGCCCAGAGCAGGGCAGGAAUAAAGUCAGACCCCAGGCCAGAGAGGGGCUGCCACAACCCUCAUGGAGCGUGAGCAGCGCCCUGAUCUUAAGAGGCUAUGAUGGUUUCUUGACAGUUGGGACAAGGACAAAUAGCCCUAGGGAGUCAGCAAAUAUGGCAACAAUUUGUAUUAAGCUCUAUCUGUAAUCUUGAACUUCGCAGAACACACAGGUCUGUGAAAUCUAAAAGAAUAUUCAAAAUUACUGUGAGAAACCAGGUUUCUAGAGAUAGGAAGCCACAUCUCUCCUCGAAUCUUAUUAAAGGGCUGAAGACGCACAUUCCCAGGUCUUGCAAUUCAAACUGGACACGGCCCUGUGGGGCUCCUGGACACACCAGCCUUUCUGUGUCCCCCAUUUCUUAUUCUUAGGACAUGGGCCUCGAUCAGCCUCCUUGACUUUCUCUGAGUUCCCAGGGGCAGGUUCAGACAGGUGCUGAUCAGGGAAGGGAAGGGAGGCAGAGACCAGGGAGGAGCCGUCUAGGACAGCUUAGAGUCCUUCCUUGUCCUUCUCCGUGGCUUUACUGCACCCUAAACGCAUCACCUGUGAGCUAAGGAUGAGGCUCCCUGAACCUAAUGGCCUGUGGGUUGAAGAUGAAGAGCACAUGAUGUUUUUCGGGAGCUUCCCUGGUUUGUUCUCAUCUCUGAUCACUAGACCCUUUUCUCCAGGACUGUUGUUCUCGGCAAUAACCCAGGAGACCCCCACCUGGAUCAGAGUGAGAUCUCCUGACACCCGCUUCAACGACUAAGAUUCCCCUCAAAGAAAGAAGGAGGUGUAUUUGCCCCAAUCCUAAUCCUUAUCUGAAACCCCGUAUUUCUCCUUUUUACCAUAAAACUCCUCAUAAUUCUUUCUAAUGGGGGGCUUAGUCCUUAGGGCAUUAGCCCGCUGUGACCCUCCUUUGCCGAGCAAAUCAAUACAGCUAUUUUUUUCUCCUUUACCCAAAACUCUGCCUCUGUGAUUCAAUUCAGCACCGGCAGACAGAGGCCGAAUUUCAGCAACAAAAUCACUGUAGUCUCCUAUCAAGCCAUUUAGAAAACUGAUUCUAAUGAGUUCUCUACUGUAGAAAGGUAUUUACUAUCAAUACUGCAGGCAGCUCUAAAAGUAAUGCUUCUUGAAAUGAUUUUAAUAUACUGAUUUCCUGGUAAGACAACAUUGUCAAUCAAGGAUACGUCAAUAAAAUACAUUGUAAAUAAGUAAAUAAAAUUAAGACGACAUGGCAAAUGAACUAUACUUCAAUAAAAUAAAUUAAAAAUAAUAAUAUACUGAUUUCCCCAUCAUUUUGAAAUCUGGAAUUGAUCAUAUCAUGGCUAUUAGGGGUGUACAUUUUGUUGAAAAAAAGAAAAGUUUUAUUCCUGGGAAGUGUAACUCAAUUGCUUGUGCAAAAGUCAAAAGCUAACUUUCUUCUUUUUCCUUUUAGGGCCUCACCUUAAAAAUGAUCUCAGAAGUGUCUAUUUGGAUAAUUAGAACUAGACAAUGUCAGAGUUACCUAUUCCUAAAAUACAUCUUUGGGGGGGGAUUAAGAAAUACAAAGAAGAACCAAAAUAUAAAAAUAAUUGGACAAACAAUAUUCAGAUGAAAUGUAUUAGACAAUUAAUUAUUCUUCCACUGUAGCUUAUGCAUAAUAUAUUAUGCUGUCCAAAGUUAUUCAUUUUCAAGACUCUCCCAUUUUUCGAUAUUCAGAAAAAUAUAGCCGCCAUAAUGCAAGUCAUAUGAAAAAAAAAGUCACUGCUACUGGUAUAAACUGUAAAGUAGACUAUUUGCAAGAUUUCCCUCCCCCCCCCCAUCUUUUUAGGGCUGUACCAGCAGCAUAUGGAGGUUCCCCGGCUAGGAGUCGAAUGGGAGCUGCAGCUGUCGGCCCACACCACAGCCACAGCAAUGCCAGAUUUGAGCCGCAUCUGCAAGCUACACCACAGCUCAUGGCAACACCAGAUCCUUAACCCACUGAGUGAGGCCAGGGAUCAAGCCCGUGUCCUCAUGGAGAGUAGUCGACUUCGUUACUGCAAGAUUUCCUUUAAAGGGAACGGUGGAGAACAGCAGAGACCAUCUCCCCUCCUUCAAGCAGAAGGCACAGAGAUCUCUGAAGCAAGGCCAGGUUCAGCGGUCAACACCAACACCGCCAAGGGCCAAUGGCAGGGAAAUUUUUCUCUAAGAUCUGGUUUGGUGACAGCAACAUAGUUCCAAAUUCCUAUUCAUUUACUGAAAACACUGGUGGCUGUGUGAUGGGAUUUCCAGGAGUCUCAAGUUGCAAGUUGGUUCUUGCAUCAUAUGCUGGUUUGAGAUCCGAAAAGAAGAGUUGCAUUCAUCUUGUAAACAGGUAGAAGCACAGAGCAAAAUACCUCGGCGAUGCAUCGAUGAUAACAAGAUUAAAGGGACUGAUUUAUUCUUGGAGAAAAAUCCCCAAAGUGGUCUGUAGACAUUACGAAUUGUAAAGGCGUGGGAGCUGGCAUGGUGAUAAACCUUCCCUAGUCCCACGAUAACUGCGUGCGUUUGUCAAUCUGUGUAUUAAGCCGGUACGUGGAUGACAGUGCUUUUGAUUAGUAAGCAUAGCGGGUGUCUUGGGGCCAUCUGGAGUUUUAUGGAUAGACACAACUCAACUCAGCCAGGUGGUUUAUGCUCCUCUGAAUGCACACAGAGAAAUCAGUAGCUGCUUCAUAUUACAAAAGUCAGCUUCCUGUUCAAGAGUCCAACUCCAGAUGCUGCUCUUUUUCUUCACCAUGUAGGUGAUGCAUUGGUUCAGAAACGGAGAGUUUCAUGUCAGAAAUACGUGGGGAGCGGUUCCCUGGUGGGUCAGAGGGUUAUGGAUCCAGUGUUGUCACUGCAGUGGCUUCAGUUGCAGGUGUGGCACAGGUUCAAUCCCUGGCCGAGGAACCUCUGCAAGCGGGAGGUGCAGCCGUAAAAAAAGAGCCAAAGAAAGAGCAAAAGAGGAAGGAAGGAAGGAGGGAAGGAGGGAAGGAAGGAAGGAAGGGAGGGAGGGAAGGAAAGAAGGAGGGAAGGAAGGAAGGAAGGAAGAAAGGGAGGUGUAGAAAGUAUAAUGGACUUAGGAAGGCUCAGAGCACUCUCAUUUUGAGGGUGACAAGUGGCCUGCCUCUUUGGAAAGCAGGUGACAGGGGACUUAGCAAUUACUUUCAUUUUUAUGUACAUGGUGAUUUUCUCCUAGGUAACAAGCCAGUAUUUUCCAGGACUUCUUAAAAUCUUUGCAUCAGGUCAUCCUUGGGUGAUCCCAUAAACACACUAUUCCCGAAAGUGUAUCCAUGAAGCCUGGGGCAUUCCCAUUUUGAAAGGCAUUCCGCAGUGACCACAUUAACUCCAAGUGGACCCUGAUCAGUGCCUCUGGUUGAGCAUCUGCAGCAGAGGCAUCAAAACAUACUGAUUCAGGGGUUCCCUGGUGGCCUAGAGGUUAAGGAUCCAGCAUUGUCACUGCUGUGGCGCAGGUUAGAUCCUUGGCCCAGGAACUUCCACAGGCUGCAGGCACAGCACACACACACACACACACACACACACACACACACACACAAAACCAACAAACAGAAAACCGCAUAUAGAUUCAUGUGAGCCAAACCAGCUGUUUGAUAAGCUCUCCCUACCUCCCUCCUUCUACCAGGCUGCUAGAAUCAGGAGUCGAUUCGCUCCAAAUACUGAAAAGAGUUUACACUCCUUAUCCAGAGGAAAUGCCUGGUUUCCAUGAUGCUUCACUUCGUGUCAGCAUUUCAGCCUAAGCAUCAGAGCUCGCUGACGGUGUCCUCGCCAAGCACACGAUUCCUGACUGGAUACUCAAGCUUCUUUCCAAUUCUGUGGCCAGUCAGUAAUCCGCUCAAGGGUUUCUUCAGGGCUUUUACAGCCAGUAUGUGUUCCUUUCUUUGCUAAGUGCUGGGGGUGCAAACAGAAGUAUGACGUGGUUUCUGCUCUCCAGUCCAGAACCAGAGAAAGACUUGCAGACAAUGAAUUCCAGGGCGGUAGGCCCAGGGUCAUGAUAAAGGGAUGUGCAGAGAGCACUAAGAACACAGAGAUGGGACACCCCGCUUAUCUCGGAAGAAUCAGGAAAGAAACCUGAAUGACGCUUUUGUUUGUCAACUUUGCUCAAACAAUGUCUGGGGAAAUCCGACGACCUUUCUUUUUCAAAUCAGGUAAUGACAAGAGUAAAAUUUUCCUGGACACUCAAUCCUAAUCAUAGGAAUUACACUUUCCUUUUCUUUCUUUUUUUUUUUUUCUUUUCACUGCACCGAGGCACGUAGAAGGUCCCAGGCCAGAGAUGGAACCCAAACCACAGCAGUGACAAUGCCACGUCGCCAACCACAAGGCCACCAGGAAACUCCCUACACUUUUUUUUUUUUUUUUGAGUAACAGGAGCCCACGGUGUGCUGAGGAGCCAUGUGGACCAGCCCAACACACUUCUACCAUCAGUAGUGAGACUAAUGCAAUUCUGCAAUCAAAGAAAAGCAUCAGCAUAUUUUGCAAAGGGUUUUCCUGAACCUUGCAAAAGAAGGUCAAAUCCGUCUCUUUCACCCACGAUGUGUGGCAAAUAAAACCGUGAGGACUGCAGUCUCCCGGACAACACUGCAACUUUGGGGUGUCAUACAUCCCCUGGAUCCCCCGAGGCGGUGAAGCCAUUAAUGCGGGGGGACAGGAACGUCCACUGUCCUUUAUUCCCCUCUGAUGUCCUUCAAUGGAAGUGUUUCAUCUUCCAAGAUGGGCACUUCUGAUUGAGUCAGCGGAACGGUACGCCCAAUGAUGAGGAGAAAUGCAAAUGACUGUCACAGAAAACAUGUGUCACACCCACAGCAUCCCAUGGGUACUGAAUACCGACUUCCUGUGUACCCCCAAAAGGCAGACGACUACCUGAGAAGUGUCCUAAUUCUUCAGGGGCAUGUUUAUGCUGAGUUACGCCGACCUCAAUGCCAAAAUCAGAUUUGACACUGGCCGAGAAAGUCUCCACCGACGUUGGCAGC
rnacentral:lncRNA from 1 species